AUGGAGAGAAACAGGGCGACAAGAAGUCCCCUGAAUCAGAAUCCCUCCUGGAAUUAGCCCGUGAUUGCAGCACAAAAACCAAGCUUUUGAUGGCUGAAAUUGGAGAAGCUCUUGACCGUUUGUACUUGUCCUGGUCUUCAAGUGGCCGAGACAGCAGCAACAACAGCUCAUUCCAGAUCCAUCUGCUGUCUCCUGCACCUCUUGAUGUUUCCUUUUGGCCAAGUUUUGUCAAGCAGUUGCAAUCAAACGUGCUCCGGAUCUCACGGAUUGCGGCUGAACAUUUGGGCAGUGAACACGUUAGUGUAAGGAACCGUGUCUAUUCCUUGUACGACAGCCUCAAAUCACUCGAGCAUUACAUUGCUCCAUUAUUUAGUCACCCCAAUUUCUCAUCCCCUGGGAGAGUAGGAGCGGAAGCAGGAGCAACAACAGAUGAUGCAUUGCCUAGUGUUGAUGCUUGCCUUGGCCAUGUGGUAUCUGUGGUCCUACGAAUUGCAAAUCAGUGUUGUGAUCACUGGUUGGAUUGCAAAACAGGCCGAAUCCAGGUGGAAAAAAGUGAGUUGACUAAGUUCGUGGAGGAUUUGCAUCACGAGAUUCAUC
rnacentral:lncRNA from 1 species